CUGAGCCGUAUGAGGUAGGAAACUCUCAAGUACGGUUCUAAGGGAAGGAAUUGACUCGCCUAUUCCGAC
rfam:Ricinus communis cultivar Hale ctg_1100012351831, whole genome shotgun sequence.